UGAAAAACUAACUAUGUUGUCGGUUUUCUGAGAUCGUUCGCUACACACUGGCAGUUUGUUUGACCAAAGUCCGUCGAGGUAAAAUUUAAUUAUUUUCAGGUGACGGAUGUCAAAGUUAUGCUAUUUAUACGCAAUAUAUUCAAAUACACUCGAUAUGCUGGAUAUACGAGUGUAAAUCGAGUAUAAGAAAAAUGAA